GAUGAACGCUGGCGGCGUGCCUAACACAUGCAAGUCGAACGGAGUCCAGCCUUUAAGACCUUCGGGUCAAAGAGGGGAAGACUGAGUGGCGGACGGGUGAGUAACACGUGGGCAACCUGGCUCAUAGAGGGGGAUAACAGAGAGAAAUUUCUGCUCAUACCGCAUAAGCACACACUGCCGCAUGGCAGAGGGUGGAAGGAGAAUCGCUAUGAGAUGGACCCGCGUCUGAUUAGCUAGUUGGCAGGGUAAGAGCCUACCAAAGCGACGAACAGUAGCCGAGCGGAGGAGAUGAACGGCCACGUUGGGACUGAGACACGGCCCAAACUCCGACGGAGGGCAGCAGUAGGGGAUAUUGCACAAUGGGGGGAACCCUAGUGCAGCGACGCCGCGUGAGUGAAGAAUUAGUUCGGUAUGUAAAGCUCUAUCAGCAGGGAAGAUAAUGACAGUACCUGAAUAAGAAGCCCCGGCUAACUACGUG
rnacentral:rRNA from 1 species